UACGUAGGGUGCGAGCGUUAAUCGGAAUUACUGGGCGUAAAGCGUGCGCAGGCGGUUUGUUAAGACAGAUGUGAAAUCCCCGGGCUUAACCUGGGAACUGCAUUUGUGACUGGCAAGCUAGAGUAUGGCAGAGGGGGGUAGAAUUCCACGUGUAGCAGUGAAAUGCGUAGAGAUGUGGAGGAGUACCGAUGGCGAAGGCAGCCCCCUGGGCCAAUACUGACGCCUCAUGCACGAAAGCGUGGGGAGCAAACAGG
rnacentral:rRNA from 1 species